GACGAACCGUCCAAACGUUGUUCGGAAUCACUGGGCUUAAAGGGCGCGUAGGCGGGUUCUCAAGUCCGGGGUGAAAUCCCACAGCUCAACUGUGGAACUGCCUCGGAUACUGGGGGCCUCGAGGGUGGUAGGGGUAUGCGGAACUAUCGGUGGAGCGGUGAAAUGCGUUGAUAUCGAUAGGAACUCCGGUGGCGAAGGCGGCAUACUGGACCACAUCUGACGCUGAGGCGCGAAAGCCAGGGGAGCAAACGGG
rnacentral:rRNA from 1 species